AGGAAAAAAUAAAAUUAUCAUCUUCAGUUUUGAAAGACUUAGAAAAUUCAUAA
rnacentral:misc_RNA from 1 species